rnacentral:tRNA from 1 species
GCCGCUAUCGUCUAACGGUUAGGACACUAGGCUUUCAAUCUGGUAAUCGGGGUUCGAUUCCCCGUAGCGGCACCA